rnacentral:rRNA from 1 species
AGAGUUUGAUUAUGGCUCAGGAUCAACGCUGGCGGCGUGCCUAAUGCAUGCAAGUCGCACGGAGACUUCGGUUUCAGUGGCGAACGGCUGAGGAACACGUACGAACCUACCCGCUCGUGGGGAAUAACGCAGCGAAAGUUGCGCUAAUACCGCGUACGCUUGGGCAACCAAGGAAAGCCGCAAGGUGCGGGCGGAAGGGCGUGCGGCCCAUCAGGUAGUUGGCGGGGUAAUGGCCCACCAAGCCGUCGACGGGUAGCUGGUCUGUGAGGACGAUCAGCCAGACUGGGACUGCGACACGGCCCAGACACCUACGGGUGGCAGCAGCAAGGAAUCUUCCGCAAUGGGGGCAACCCCGACGGAGCAACGCCGCGUGCAGGAUGACGGCCUUCGGGUUGUAAACUGCUUUGAGGGGGGACGAGAUGGACGGUACCCCCAAAACCAGCCCCGGCUAACUCUGUGCCAGCAGCCGCGGUAAUACAGAGGGGGCAAGCGUUGUCCGGAAUGACUGGGCGUACAGGGUGCGCAGGUGGUGUGGUAGGUGACGUGUGACAGCGGACGGCUCAACCGUGCGUGGCCGCGACAAACCGCCAGACUCGAGACCUGGAGAGGGAAGUGGAAUUCCCGGUGGAGCGGUGAAAUGCGUAGAGAUCGGGAGGAACACCAGGGGCGAAGGCGGCUUCCUGGCCAGGAACUGACACUGAGGCACGAAAGCGUGGGGAGCAAACGGGAUUAGAUACCCCGGUAGUCCACGCUGUAAACGAUGUGGAGCCGGUGCGCGUGGGGGAUUGGCCCUGGGCGUGCCUGAGCAUACGCGAUGACUCCACCGCCUGGGGACUACGGUCGCAAGACUAAAACUCAAAUGAAUUGACGGGG